UGACAGAGAUGGAGUUGGGAUGUUGUUGAUCACAGCAGGAAAUGUCAUCAUAAGAAUUUUGUAAAUGAAGAUUUAAUAAGUUCAUGUGGAUAAACCACUUAGAACACUGCCUUCCACAGAGCAGAUCCGAGAGAUGUGGAGCAAGAUGGCUAGUAGAAUCCUUGACUGAUCAUUGUCCCUGUGGGAAUACUACAUUGAACAAUCCCCACACACACAAAAAAGCACUUUCAUAGGAACCAGAAAUCAGAACACAAUCAUGACUUCUCAACAGUCCUCCAAAGUCUUAGCUCAUUCCAGGAGCUAAGUCCAAGGUCUCAUCUAAGACGAGGCAAGUCCCUUCUGUCUGUGAGCCUGUAAAAUAAAAAACCAAGUUAGAUACUUCCAAGAUACAAUGUGGAUACAGGUAAAUUCUCCCAUUUCAAAAUGAAAAAAUUAGCCAAAAUAAAGGGGCUACAGGCUCCAUGCAAAUCCAAAACCCAGUAGGACAGUCAGUAAAUCUUAAAGCUCCAGAAUAAUCUUCUCUGGCUCUAUGUCUCACAUCCAGGCCACACU